GGGUUGUGAGGUUAAGCGACUAAGCGUACACGGUGGAUGCCCUGGCAGUCAGAGGCGAUGAAGGACGUGCUAAUCUGCGAUAAGCGCCGGUAAGGUGAUAUGAACCGUUAUAACCGGCGAUUUCCGAAUGGGGAAACCCAGUGUGACUCGUCACACUAUCAUUAACUGAAUCCAUAGGUUAAUGAGGCGAACCGGGGGAACUGAAACAUCUAAGUACCCCGAGGAAAAGAAAUCAACCGAGAUUCCCCAGUAGCGGCGAGCGAACGGGGAGGAGCCCAGAGCCUGAAUCAGCAUGUGUGUUAGUGGAAGCGUCUGGAAAGGCGCGCGAUACAGGGUGACAGCCCCGUACACAAAAGCGCAUGUGCUGUGAGCUCGAUGAGUAGGGCGGGACACGUGGUAUCCUGUCUGAAUAUGGGGGACCAUCCUCCAAGGCUAAAUACUCCUGACUGACCGAUAGUGAACCAGUACCGUGAGGGAAAGGCGAAAAGAACCCCGGCGAGGGAGUGAAAAAGAACCUGAAACCGUGUACGUACAAGCAGUGGGAGCACCCUUCGGGGUGUGACUGCGUACCUUUGUAUAAUGGGUCAGCGACUUAUAUUCUGUAGCAAGGUUAACCGUAUAGGGAGCCGCAGGGAAACCGAGUCUUAACCGGGCGUUAAGUUGCAGGGUAUAGACCCGAAACCCGGUGAUCUAGCCAUGGGCAGGUUGAAGGUUGGGUAACACUAACUGGAGGACCGAACCGACUAAUGUUGAAAAAUUAGCGGAUGACCUGUGGCUGGGGGUGAAAGGCCAAUCAAACCGGGAGAUAGCUGGUUCUCCCCGAAAGCUAUUUAGGUAGCGCCUCGUGAAUUCAUCUCCGGGGUAGAGCACUGUUUCGGCUAGGGGGCCAUCCCGGCUUACCAACCCGAUGCAAACUGCGAAUACCGGAGAAUGUUAUCACGGGAGACACACGGCGGGUGCUAACGUCCGUCGUGAAGAGGGAAACAACCCAGACCGCCAGCUAAGGUCCCAAAGUCAUGGUUAAGUGGGAAACGAUGUGGGAAGGCCCAGACAGCCGGAUGUUGGCUUAGAAGCAGCCAUCAUUUAAAGAAAGCGUAAUAGCUCACUGGUCGAGUCGGCCUGCGCGGAAGAUGUAACGGGGCUAAACCAUGCACCGAAGCUGCGGCAGCGACGCUUAUGCGUUGUUGGGUAGGGGAGCGUUCUGUAAGCCUGCGAAGGUGGCCUGUGAGGGUUGCUGGAGGUAUCAGAAGUGCGAAUGCUGACAUAAGUAACGAUAAAGCGGGUGAAAAGCCCGCUCGCCGGAAGACCAAGGGUUCCUGUCCAACGUUAAUCGGGGCAGGGUGAGUCGACCCCUAAGGCGAGGCCGAAAGGCGUAGUCGAUGGGAAACGGGUUAAUAUUCCCGUACUUGGUGUUACUGCGAAGGGGGGACGGAGAAGGCUAUGUUGGCCGGGCGACGGUUGUCCCGGUUUAAGCGUGUAGGUGUGUGUUCCGUAAAUCCGGUUCACUUUAACACUGAGGCGUGACGACGAGGCACUACGGUGCUGAAGCAACAAAUGCCCUGCUUCCGGAAAGCCUCUAAGCAUCAGGUAACAUCAAAUCGUACCCCAAACCGACACAGGUGGUCAGGUAGAGAAUACCAAGGCGCUUGAGAGAACUCGGGUGAAGGAACUAGGCAAAAUGGUGCCGUAACUUCGGGAGAAGGCACGCUGACACGUAGGUGAAGUGAUUUACUCAUGGAGCUGAAGUCAGUCGAAGAUACCAGCUGGCUGCAACUGUUUAUUAAAAACACAGCACUGUGCAAACACGAAAGUGGACGUAUACGGUGUGACGCCUGCCCGGUGCCGGAAGGUUAAUUGAUGGGGUCAGCGCAAGCGAAGCUCCUGAUCGAAGCCCCGGUAAACGGCGGCCGUAACUAUAACGGUCCUAAGGUAGCGAAAUUCCUUGUCGGGUAAGUUCCGACCUGCACGAAUGGCGUAAUGAUGGCCGGCUGUCUCCACCCGAGACUCAGUGAAAUUGAACUCGCUGUGAAGAUGCAGUGUACCCGCGGCAAGACGGAAAGACCCCGUGAACCUUUACUAUAGCUUGACACUGAACAUUGAGCCUUGAUGUGUAGGAUAGGUGGGAGGCUUUGAAGCGUGGACGCCAGUCUGCGUGGAGCCGACCUUGAAAUACCACCCUUUAAUGUUUGAUGUUCUAACGUGGACCCGUGAUCCGGGUUGCGGACAGUGUCUGGUGGGUAGUUUGACUGGGGCGGUCUCCUCCUAAAGAGUAACGGAGGAGCACGAAGGUUGGCUAAUCCUGGUCGGACAUCAGGAGGUUAGUGCAAUGGCAUAAGCCAGCUUGACUGCGAGCGUGACGGCGCGAGCAGGUGCGAAAGCAGGUCAUAGUGAUCCGGUGGUUCUGAAUGGAAGGGCCAUCGCUCAACGGAUAAAAGGUACUCCGGGGAUAACAGGCUGAUACCGCCCAAGAGUUCAUAUCGACGGCGGUGUUUGGCACCUCGAUGUCGGCUCAUCACAUCCGGGCUGAAGUAGGUCCCAAGGGUAUGGCUGUUCGCCAUUUAAAGUGGUACGCGAGCUGGGUUUAGAACGUCGUGAGACAGUUCGGUCCCUAUCGCCGUGGGCGCUGGAGAACUGAGGGGGCUGCUCCUAGUACGAGAGGACCGGAGUGGACGCAUCACUGGUGUUCGGGUUGUCAUGCCAAUGGCACUGCCCGGUAGCUAAAUGCGGAAGAGAUAAGUGCUGAAAGCAUCUAAGCACGAAACUUGCCCCGAGAUGAGUUCUCCCUGAGACUUUAGGUCUCCUGAAGGAACGUUGAAGACGACGACGUUGAUAGGCCGGGUGUGUAAGCGCAGCGAUGCGUUGAGCUAACCGGUACUAAUGAACCGUGAGGCUUAACCUUACAACGCCGAAG
rnacentral:rRNA from 1 species